CAUUACUUAAUGAAAUCUUGCAGGUAGUGGGGGAGGGGUCAGCAAAUUCAUUCAAGUCUGAAAGAGUUUGGUUGGUGGGCUCCGUCCUUUUCUAUUUCUGGAUCCAAAGUUAGUAUCCCAUCUUUUUAACAGGUGGAAAUGGGAAAAGCUUUUAUAUUUUUUGUCUUUACUAAUAAAUGAAUGGUGUCUCACUUUGAGAAAGAUAGAAUAGGAAUUCCCAUUGACAACAUUGCUCAAAGCCUGAAAAUACAAAAUACUAAACACCACCUGGAUCAGAGAAGACAACCCCAGACCCACAAUGAAGAAGAAGAAGAAGAAAAGGACAACAUUUUGAGCUUCAGAGCUUGAGAGUUGAGACUCUUCCCUCCUUAAACAACAGGUCAAAUGGUAACACUGCACAAGUUAGCCGAGCCAACUCGACCGGAGAAGAGUUAGGCUAUAAAAUUUGCAUUUAGGGAGAGAGGAGGAGGGAUCUGUCAUCUCUAUCCCCUACCUUCUGAUAUUGGCAUGAACAGGCUCAAUCGUACGGUAGGUAGGAACCAUGUCAUGGUUUAGCAUGUUUCUCUUCUUUAUCAUGUGUUCAGAUAUGAUAAAAGUGUAUUUUUGUAAUUCUCCAAUUUAUCCCAAUCGAAGAUCCGGGUCAGUCGCAUCUAAAACCGGGUUCAUCUA